rnacentral:rRNA from 1 species
ACGGGUGAGUAACACGUAGGCAACCUGCCCUCAAGCUUGGGACAACUACCGGAAACGGUAGCUAAUACCGAAUACUUGUUUUCUUCGCCUGAAGGGAACUGGAAAGACGGAGUAAUCUGUCACUUGAGGAUGGGCCUGCGGCGCAUUAGCUAGUUGGUGAGGUAACGGCUCACCAAGGCGACGAUGCGUAGCCGACCUGAGAGGGUGAUCGGCCACACUGGGACUGAGACACGGCCCAGACUCCUACGGGAGGCAGCAGUAGGGAAUCUUCCGCAAUGGGCGAAAGCCUGACGGAGCAAUGCCGCGUGAGUGAUGAAGGUUUUCGGAUCGUAAAGCUCUGUUGCCAGGGAAGAACGCUUAGGAGAGUAACUGCUCCUGAGGUGACGGUACCUGAGAAGAAAGCCCCGGCUAACUACGUGCCAGCAGCCGCGGUAAUACGUAGGGGGCAAGCGUUGUCCGGAAUUAUUGGGCGUAAAGCGCGCGCAGGCGGUCAUUUAAGUCUGGUGUUUAAUCCCGGGGCUCAACCCCGGAUCGCACUGGAAACUGGGUGACUUGAGUGCAGAAGAGGAGAGUGGAAUU